rnacentral:rRNA from 1 species
AGCUUGCUCCCGGAUGUUAGCGGCGGACGGGUGAGUAACACGUGGGUAACCUGCCUGUAAGACUGGGAUAACUCCGGGAAACCGGAGCUAAUACCGGAUAGUUCCUUGAACCGCAUGGUUCAAGGAUGAAAGACGGUUUCGGCUGUCACUUACAGAUGGACCCGCGGCGCAUUAGCUAGUUGGUGAGGUAACGGCUCACCAAGGCGACGAUGCGUAGCCGACCUGAGAGGGUGAUCGGCCACACUGGGACUGAGACACGGCCCAGACUCCUACGGGAGGCAGCAGUAGGGAAUCUUCCGCAAUGGACGAAAGUCUGACGGAGCAACGCCGCGUGAGUGAUGAAGGUUUUCGGAUCGUAAAGCUCUGUUGUUAGGGAAGAACAAGUGCAAGAGUAACUGCUUGCACCUUGACGGUACCUAACCAGAAAGCCACGGCUAACUACGUGCCAGCAGCCGCGGUAAUACGUAGGUGGCAAGCGUUGUCCGGAAUUAUUGGGCGUAAAGGGCUCGC